UGUUUCUAAGUCCCACAUUGGUUAGAUGAGGGAAGAGAAGAGGUGCCUUCAUGUAUAAAAAGGAGGGGGUGUGUGCAUUAGGAAGCAUGAGAGGCUAAGAUGCAAUUUAGAGAAAAUUGCAACUUUUGGCCCAAAGGUUUGAAUAAUUAAAUUCAAACCUAUAGUUUUUUUUAAUAUAAUUUUGGGACUCACAAUCCCAUUUUUAUAUUAUUUUUCUCUCUUCCUCUCACGUUGCUCGGCGUUUUCUCGCAAGGGGGGAUUAUUUUCUUUUUCUUCAGAUUAUAUUGACAAAGAUAGUGGUGAAAAAGGAGUUGUGAAGGGGAACUUGUUAUUCAAGACACAAGGAGCGAGUCCGGCCGAGAAAGCACCAGAGGUGUAACUAUGGUGUAUGAGACACCAUCUUUUACGUUGCCUCUUAUUUUAGAUUAUACAAUGUAUCUUGUGCCAACUUAGGACAUAUCUUCUUUGUGAAGCAUGUAAACUCUAAUCCUUUUUA